UACGUAGGUGGCGAGCGUUGUCCGGAUUUAUUGGGCGUAAAGCGCGCGCAGGCGGUGCGGUAAGUCUGUCGUGAAAUCUCCCGGCUCAACUGGGAGGGUGCGGUGGAGACUGCCGGACUAGAGGCACUCAGAGGCCGGUGGAAUUCCCGGUGUAGUGGUGAAAUGCGUAGAGAUCGGGAGGAACACCAGUGGCGAAGGCGGCCGGCUGGGGGUGACCUGACGCUGAGGCGCGAAAGCGUGGGGAGCGAACCGG
rnacentral:rRNA from 1 species